rnacentral:lncRNA from 1 species
AAUGUGUUCUUAUCGAGUUAAUGGCAUAUCCCUCCCAUCGGUCUCACUUACCUGGCCAUAUGUGUCGACCCAGUUCUGAUUUGAGAUGGCUAACAAUUCAAGCUGACCCAUGCCACUAGGUUAGUCAUAAUUGUUAUGACUAUGUCAAGUCAAGUUUAAAGAGACCUAAAUCAAAUCUCCCUAAGAAAAUAUUAAGUCUAGGUCUUCCACCAUUGUCGAUGUGCGGGCCCUUCCUAGGGUUGAU